CCUACGGGUGGCUGCAGUGGGGAAUAUUGGACAAUGGGCGAAAGCCUGAUCCAGCCAUGCCGCGUGUGUGAAGAAGGCCUUCGGGUUGUAAAGCACUUUCAGUGGGGAAGAAAGCCUUGGGGCUAAUACCCUCGAGGAAGGACAUCACCCACAGAAGAAGCACCGGCUAACUCCGUGCCAGCAGCCGCGGUAAUACGGAGGGUGCGAGCAUUAAUCGGAAUUACUGGGCGUAAAGCGCGCGUAGGCGGUCUGAUAAGCCGGUUGUGAAAGCCCCGGGCUCAACCUGGGAACGGCAUCCGGAACUGUCAGGCUAGAGUGCAGGAGAGGAAGGUAGAAUUCCCGGUGUAGCGGUGAAAUGCGUAGAGAUCGGGAGGAAUACCAGUGGCGAAGGCGGCCUUCUGGACUGACACUGACGCUGAGGUGCGAAAGCGUGGGUAGCAAACAGGAUUAGAUACCCCUGUAGUC
rnacentral:rRNA from 1 species